CUCAGCAUUCACCCAAAAUGUCAGAUUAUCAUCUACCUGUAGAAAUUAAGGUAAGCUAACAUCUACCUAAAGAAUCAAGGUAAGCUAACAUCACCUGUAGAAUCAAGGUAAGCUAACAUCUACCUGUAGAAUCAAGGUAAGUUGACAUCUACCUGAAGAAUCAAGGUAAGCUAACAUUACCUGUAGAAUCAAGGUAAGCUAACAUCUACCUGUAGAAUGAAGGUAAGCUAACAUUUCCUGUAGAAUCAAGGUAAGCUAACAUCUACCUGAAGAAUCAAGGUACUGUAUUUUCUUGAGUAUAGUGCACAAUUUUUUUCCAAAAAAUACAGCUGUGCAGAAGGAGGUGCGCAUUAUACACGCAAUAAUGAGUUUUG